AUUGAACGCUGGCGGCAUGCCUUACACAUGCAAGUCGAACGGCAGCACGGGGCAACCUGGUGGCGAGUGGCGAACGGGUGAGUAAUGCAUCGGAACGUGCCAUUGAGUGGGGGAUAACGUAGCGAAAGUUGCGCUAAUACCGCAUAUUCUGUGAGCAGGAAAGCAGGGGACCGCAAGGCCUUGCGCUCUUUGAGCGGCCGAUGUCAGAUUAGCUAGUUGGUGAGGUAACGGCUUACCAAGGCGACGAUCUGUAGCGGUCUGAGAGGAUGAUCCGCCACACUGGAACUGAGACACGGUCCAGACUCCUACGGGAGGCAGCAGUGGGAAUUUUGGACAAUGGGCGCAAGCCUGAUCCAGCCAUGCCGCGUGAGUGAAGAAGGCC
rnacentral:rRNA from 1 species